rnacentral:rRNA from 1 species
CCCUUAGAUGUUCUGGGCAGCACGCGCGCUACAAUGGUCUUCGCAAACGGAUGCAUUCUCGAAGGAGAAUGCCAAUCUUGGAAUCUAUGCCUUGGUCGGGACAGUUGCUUGCAAUUUUUCGACUCGAACCAGGAAUUCCUUGUAAUCGUGAUUCAUCACAUCACGAUGAAUACGUCCCUGCCCUUUGUACACACCCCCCGUCGCUCCUACCGAUCGAAGAGUUAGGUGAAUUGUUUUGAUCGAUAAGAUUUGACUAUGGUCAACUCUCGUUGUGAAAUUCUGUGAAUCUGACUGUUUAGAGGAAGGAAAAGUCGUAACA